rnacentral:rRNA from 1 species
GACGAAGGUGGCUAACGUUAUUCGGUAUCACUGGGCUUAAAGCGUGUGUAGGCGGUCAAGUAAGCGUCGUGUGAAAUCUCCCGGCUUAACCGGGGAACGGCUCGAUGAACUGCUUGACUUGAGGCAGGCAGGGGUGCAUAGAACUCUUGGUGGAGCGGUGGAAUGCGUAGAUAUCAAGAGGAAUGCCAGUGGUGAAGACGGUGCACUGGGCCUGCCCUGACGCUGAGACACGAAAGCGUGGGGAG